rnacentral:rRNA from 1 species
GUCUGCAACUCGACUACAUGAAGCUGGAAUCGCUAGUAAUCGCGAAUCAGAAUGUCGCGGUGAAUACGUUCCCGGGUCUUGUACACACCGCCCGUCACACCAUGGGAGUCAGUAACGCCCGAAGCCGGUGACCCAACCGAUAAGGAGGGAGCCGUCGAAGGUGGGACCGAUAACUGGGGUGAAGUCGUAACAAGGUAAC